AGGGACUUAGGUUAACUAGACCAAGAGCCUUCAAAGCCCUAAGUGGGAGUUAAACCCUCCCAGACCCUG
rnacentral:tRNA from 1 species